GACCGUCCUUUGGACGGAAGGGUUUUGGUGGAGCGCGGGACCUGAUCCUGGGAGGCAAGCGUAUUAACAGGUGUGACGCAGGAAGGUAGCCGAGCCGGGCGAUGGUUGUCCCGGUCCAAGGAUGUAGGGCGAACGGUAGGCAAAUCCGCUGUUCAUGUGCCUGAGAUCUGACGGGACUCCCGUAAAGGGGGGAUUCGGUGAUCCUAUGCUGCCUAGAAAAGCAUCGGCGCGAGGUUUUAGCCGCCCGUACCCCAAACCGACACAGGUGAUCAGGUAGAGAAUACUAAGGCGAUCGAGAGAAUUAUGGUUAAGGAACUCGGCAAAAUGCCCCCGUAACUUCGGGAGAAGGGGGGCCCCAACCUUGAACGGCACACGCUGCCGGGAGGGGAUCGGGGCCGCAGAGACCAGGGGGAAGCGACUGUUUACUAAAAACACAGGUCCGUGCGAAGUCGCAAGACGAUGUAUACGGACUGACUCCUGCCCGGUGCUGGAAGGUUAAGAGGACCGGUUAGCCCUUCAGGGCGAAGCUGAGAAUUUAAGCCCCAGUAAACGGCGGUGGUAACUAUAACCAUCCUAAGGUAGCGAAAUUCCUUGUCGGGUAAGUUCCGACCUGCACGAAUGGAGUAACGACUUCCCCGCUGUCUCAACCAUAAACUCGGCGAAAUUGCAGUACGAGUAAAGAUGCUCGUUACGCGCAGCAGGACGGAAAGACCCCGAGACCUUUACUAUAGUUUGGUAUUGGUGUUCGGAGUGGCUUGUGUAGGAUAGGUGGGAGACGUUGAAGCCCGGACGCCAGUUCGGGUGGAGUCAUCGUUGAAAUACCACUCUGGUCACUUUGGACAUCUAACUUCGGCCCGUAAUCCGGGUCAGGGACAGUGCCUGAUGGGUAGUUUAACUGGGGCGGUUGCCUCCUAAAAAGUAACGGAGGCGCCCAAAGGUUCCCUCAGCCUGGUUGGCAAUCAGGUGUCGAGUGUAAGUGCACAAGGGAGCUUGACUGUGAGAGAGACAUCUCGAGCAGGGACGAAAGUCGGGACUAGUGAUCCGGCGGUACAUUGUGGAAUGGCCGUCGCUCAACGGAUAAAAGGUACCUCGGGGAUAACAGGCUGAUCUUGCCCAAGAGUCCAUAUCGACGGCAUGGUUUGGCACCUCGAUGUCGGCUCGUCGCAUCCUGGGGCUGGAGUAGGUCCCAAGGGUUGGGCUGUUCGCCCAUUAAAGCGGUACGCGAGCUGGGUUUAGAACGUCGUGAGACAGUUCGGUCCCUAUCCGCUGCGCGCGCAGGAAAUUUGAGAAGGGCUGUCCUUAGUACGAGAGGACCGGGACGGACGAACCUCUGGUGUGUCAGUUGUACUGCCAAGUGCACCGCUGAUUAGCUACGUUCGGAUGGGAUAACCGCUGAAAGCAUCUAAGCGGGAAGCUCGCUUCAAGAUGAGAUUUCCAUACAC
rnacentral:rRNA from 1 species